rnacentral:lncRNA from 1 species
GGGCCGUGUGCCGCUGGGUGGCCCUGCGAGCCGCCGCUCUCCGCCUCUCUAGGCUCAGCUUCCAUCACCGCGUGGCGGAGCCCGUGUCCGGGCCAGCCACCCAGCCCCACGGUGGGCCUUGCCUCGUCUGUUAGGUGGUAUUUUCAUCUUUGGUCAGAUGACAGCCCCCAUGCUCCAAAAAUUCUCCUGCAGCCAGGGCUUGGAGAAUCCCGACCCCUCUCUGGCAUGAACCUCUCCUCAUCCAGGGUGGCUUGUGUGGUAGAGCCAGGGGAAUGGAGAAGAUGACCUCUGAAGCCUGAAGGCUCUUUGGGAAGCAGGACACAAACAUCCUGAAGAGCCAGCCUUGAGCUGGCUGCACAAGAGACUCAUAGACUUUGCGUCAACAUCCACCUCUCCAGGCUGCAGUGGGUGUACCUGUUCACCACCACCUCCAGCAGCACUGUCGCAGCGGAGCAGUUCUUACAGCCAAUGAGCUUCCACACCACCUCCCUGCAGUUCUCUGCAACCGAGGCUCCAUCCUGCACUGAUGGGCUGCCUGACACGUCGGCCUCAACAAGCAUUUCCAGCACAUUCUCAGCUUUCCUGCUCUGCUGGGCAAAACACAGGGUGAGAAGGGGAGAGGAAGAACGGGACUGUGGCCCAGUUCUAGGCUUGGAGUCUAGCGAGGAACACCAGGUGCCUGCAUUAAAAGGAAUGGCUUGAGGCUUCCAAAUUCACAUCCUCUGGUUUGCACAAACAGGCCAGGCAGCUGCACCUCUGAGCUGCCUCCAGUCCAUGGUUAAUUGCCAGAAAAUAAUUCGCCCUGAGGUCAUUGCCGUUUAAACAGCUGGCUUCGUCUUUUCCUGUUUGGCCGGUCGUUCUGGGCUCCCUGGCCCUCCCUCCACCUGCUUCUGUGAUCCUCUCAAACACAGCCGGCUGGGAGCCUCAGGCUGGGCUCUUCUCCCUCCAGCUUAACUUGGCGACGUCUUGAUCCUUGUGUUGUGCUGAUGCGAGGCUGUUCUGGGAAUAGGCUAGUCCCUCCACCUUGUCGUGACCUGCCUGGACACCGAGCCUCCACCAUCAGGCUAUCACUUGCAGGAAAUUUUGCAAACCCUGUGUCUCUCUAAUCAUACAGGAUGGUUGGAGAGACAAAAGAGGAAAAUGAAUGCUUCCACGAAGCUCCCUCUUUGUGGCAGAAUCAGUCCAAUGGAGAAAUUCUGAAAUUCCAGUUUUACAAAGUUCUUCAAACUUACCUCAAGGAUGGCACCAGCUGAAGCUCAGUUGCCCUGUCUCUUAUGCACCAGUGCAUCUGCCCCAGAAACUCUUAUCUGGGGCUCAGUUUGCCCCCAUGUGGUAUAAGUCCCUCCAAAGAUUCCAUUUCUAGUUACUCGUCUCAAUGUCACAAUGAGAAAUAUUUCUGCAUAUUUCCUGCAAAGCGUCUCAUUAAAGAAAGUAUUGGUUUGAUUCA